CCUACGGGAGGCAGCAGUGGGGAAUAUUGGGCAAUGGGCGCAAGCCUGACCCAGCAACGCCGCGUGAAGGAAGAAGGCUUUCUGGUUGUAAACUUCUUUUAUGAGGGACGAAACAAAUGACGGUACCUCAUGAAUAAGCCACGGCUAACUACGUGCCAGCAGCCGCGGUCAUACGUAGGUGGCAAGCGUUAUUCGGAUUUACUGGGUGUAAAGGGCGUGUAGGCGGGACUGCACGUCCGAUGUGAAAAUUAUGGGCUCAACCCAUCACCUGCAUUUGAAACUGUAGUUCUUGAGUGAUGGAGAGGCAGGCGGAAUGCCGUGUGUAGCGGUGAAAUGCGUAGAGAUACGGAGGAACACCAGUGGCGAAGGCGGCCUACUGGACAGUAACUGACGCUGAGGCACGAAAGCGUGGGGAGCAAACAGGAUUAGAUACCCGAGUAGUC
rnacentral:rRNA from 1 species